rnacentral:rRNA from 1 species
GCUUACGGCCAUACCACCUGAACGCCCGAUUCGUCCGAUCUCGGAAGCUAAGCAGGGUCGGGCCUGGUUAGUACUUGGAUGGGAGACCGCCUGGGAAUACCAGGUGCUGUAAGCU